rnacentral:rRNA from 1 species
AGACGUAGGGGGCGAGCGUUGUCCGGAAUUACUGGGCGUAAAGGGCGUGUAGGCGGCCAGGCAAGUCAGUGGUGAAAAACCUGGGCUUAACCGAGGUAUUGCCGUUGAAACUGUCUGGCUUGAGGAUAGAAGAGGAGUGUGGAAUUCCCGGUGUAGCGGUGAAAUGCGUAGAGAUCGGGAGGAACACCAGUGGCGAAGGCGGCACUCUGGUCUAUACCUGACGCUGAGGCGCGAAAGCCAGGGGAGCAAACAGGAUUAGAUACCCUGGUAGUCCUGGCUGUAAACUAUGGGUACUAGGUGUAGGAGGUUUAGAUACCUUCUGUGCCGUAGCUAACGCAUUAAGUACCCCGCCUGGGGAGUACGGUCGCAAGGCUGAA